AUGGAGUCACAGACACAGAUCCUCAUGUCCCUGCUGCUCUGGGUGUCGGGUGCAUGUGCUGAUGUCGUGAUGACACAGUCUCCUUCCUCCCUGGCUGUGUCAGCAGGAGAGAAGGUCACCAUCAAUUGCAAGUCUAGUCAGAGUCUUGUAUACAGUGACGACAAGAAGAACUACUUGUACUGGUACCAGCAGAAACCAGGACAGGCUCCUAAACUACUAAUCUACUGGGCAUCCACUCGGCACACAGGGGUCCCUGAUCGUUUCACAGGCAGUGGAUCUGAGACUGAUUUCACUCUCACCAUCAGCAGUGUCCAGGCUGAAGACCUGGCAGAUUAUUACUGUAUGCAAGCUAAUGAGUAUCCUCCCACAGUGCUUCAGCCUCCAACAAAAACUUCUGAGAAUCUCAGCAGUGCCUAUUCAGAUAUCAUGAUGACCUGGUCUCCAUCCUCACCAGCUGUGUCAGCAGGAGAGAAGGUCACCAUCAGCUGCAAAUCCAAUCAGAUUCUUUUAUACAGUGCCUAUAACUUCUUGACAUUGUACCAGCAGAAACCAGGACAGGCUCCUAAACUACUGAUCUACUGGGCAUCCACUUGA